GGAGAAGGGAACUUGUAGGCGGUGUUGUUCGCAAGCACUUGUGGCCCUUGUCCUUCCAGACUAAAAUGGGAAAAGGACUGCUUUUAAUUGCUGCACUUUUGAAGAUGACUCCAGGGGACUUGAUUUCCAACAUGCUACCCCAGUGAGUAUUGAUGCUAUCAAGAGAGGAUCAAUGUCGAUUUCACCAGUUUUCUGAUCUCCACUUCACCCCCA